GAUGAACGCUGGCGGCGUGCCUAAUACAUGCAAGUCGAGCGAACAGACGAGGAGCUUGCUCCUCUGACGUUAGCGGCGGACGGGUGAGUAACACGUGGAUAACCUACCUAUAAGACUGGGAUAACUUCGGGAAACCGGAGCUAAUACCGGAUAAUAUAUUGAACCGCAUGGUUCAAUAGUGAAAGACGGUUUUGCUGUUACUUAUAGAUGGAUCCGCGCCGCAUUAGCUAGUUGGUAAGGUAACGGCUUACCAAGGCAACGAUGCGUAGCCGACCUGAGAGGGUGAUCGGCCACACUGGAACUGAGACACGGUCCAGACUCCUACGGGAGGCAGCAGUAGGGAAUCUCCCGCAAAGGGCGAAAGCCUGACGGAGCAACGCCGCGUGAGUGAUGAAGGUCUUCGGAUCGUAAAACUCUGUUAUUAGGGAAGAACAAAUGUGUAAGUAACUAUGGUCGUCUUGACGGUACCUAAUCAGAAAGCCACGGCUAACUACGUG
rnacentral:rRNA from 1 species